rnacentral:rRNA from 1 species
CAGCAGCCACGGGAAAACAGAGGGUGCAAGCGUUAAUCGGAAUUACUGGGCGUAAAGCGCGCGUAGGUGGUUUGUUAAGUUGGAUGUGAAAUCCCCGGGCUCAACCUGGGAACUGCAUCCAAAACUGGCAAGCUAGAGUAUGGUAGAGGGUGGUGGAAUUUCCUGUGUAGCGGUGAAAUGCGUAGAUAUAGGAAGGAACACCAGUGGCGAAGGCGACCACCUGGACUGAUACUGACACUGAGGUGCGAAAGCGUGGGGAGCAAACAGGAUUAGAUACCCCAGUAGUCCCUGUCUCUUAUAC